AAGAUGGAGAAGGAAACAGCAGAGGAGAAUUACUGGAUUUAUUGAAGAAACUUGUUACCUAGAUAGUUACAGAACUUACCAUUUCCCUCAAGCCUGCCCGAUGGAUUGGGAGGAGGAUGUCCUGCCAUCCUGCAACUCGAAUACGGAUUAUACAGAAAUAUUGGCCGACCCAGACUUCUUCACGACAUCGUGCCCGUCAGAAACCGCCAAGAAGCUAUUGGCAUUGUGGCAGCAAGGGAAAGACGCAUACAAGCAAAUAAAAUUACACCCAGAGUCAUCCUCGCUUCCUAUCAUGGAAAACGAGAUUUUGAACUGCUCCUGGACAACUCGAUCUUGUAGAUGUACUAUCACACAAGGCCUACCAAUCCGACGACGUACUAGGCGACCUAUUUGGAGUAACAACACCGAAUUCAAGUCGAUCGUCAAUAUCACAAAGUAUUUUUUCAGAAAGAACGGGAAAUGCUUUACAUCUAAGUUGGAGACAUCAUCUGGUCAUCAACUGGUAGAGAUAAGAGUGGGAUCAUUUGCAGAUGCCCUGAAACUUCCUCAAUCCCAGCAAUGGAAGGCAUAUUCGAAAAGGAUAACCUUUGUGACGAAGAGUCAACAGGAUUAUCUCAAUCAAAUGGUGGAGAAAAUUCUCGGAAUAGCAGCGGAAAGAAUUGGAAAAAAUACGCAAUCCCAAAAUGCGACCAAGAAACUACUAUUAGAGUUCAUACAGGAAAAUGUAUGUGUGAGGGACAGGAACACGGGUCAGAUGUGUCUGC
rnacentral:lncRNA from 1 species